rnacentral:rRNA from 1 species
GUGUCAGCCGCCGCGGUAAUACGGAGGGUGCGAGCGUUGUUCGGAAUCACUGGGCGUAAAGCGCGUGUAGGCGGCCUUCUAAGUCCGAUGUGAAAGCCCGGGGCUCACCCCCGGAAGUGCAUCGAAUACUGGGAGACUAGAGUACCGGAGAGGAAAGUGGAAUUCCUGGUGUAGCGGUGAAAUGCGUAGAUAUCAGGAGGAACACCGGUGGCGAAGGCGGCUUUCUGGACGGAUACUGACGCUGAGACGCGAAAGCGUGGGGAGCAAACAGGAUUAGAAACCCUAGUAGUCC